rnacentral:rRNA from 3 species
GGUGUGGAAGUGUGGUGACACAUGGAGCUUACUGAUACUAAUCGUUCGAUUGACUUGAUCGUUCCCAUU